GGAUAUUGCUCAGCCAAAGGGCCAGCAUCCCAGUGAAGAAGAUCAGAAAGAGGCUUCCGAUUCCGUCUCUAGAGCCUUUGAGGUCACUCCUGACGCUGACAUGGCUGUGAAGAGCUGGGUGCCAGGCAUUACUGCCUCCAAGGUUGCUUUGCGAGGAAUAGGUGGGGCAUCAGGAAGAAGCCAGUUGCAGGCAAGGCCUCUGCUGAUGCUGCUUUUUUCUCCUGUAGCCAUCCAUGGGAGGGAGCUGUUAGAUGGCCUGGCAGAACCCGCUCUCAGACCCCACAGAAUGAGAGGCUAACCCUGCACAGGAACAUCCUGGGGCAGCAGGCUCAGCACAUUUUAAAUUUUGAGUAUGAACAAAGUAAACUUCAGGGUUAAAAAAAAACACAAAAAUUUGUUGAGC